rnacentral:rRNA from 1 species
AGAGUUUGAUCCUGGCUCAGGACGAACGCUGGCGGCGUGCCUAACACAUGCAAGUCGAACGAGAAUCUUUGAACAGAUCUUUUCGGAGUGACGUUCAAAGAGGAAAGUGGCGGACGGGCGAGUAACGCGUGAGUAACCUGCCCAUAAGAGGGGGAUAAUCCAUGGAAACGUGGACUAAUACCGCAUAUUGUAGUUAAGUUGCAUGACUUGAUUAUGAAAGAUUUAUCGCUUAUGGAUGGACUCGCGUCAGAUUAGAUAGUUGGUGAGGUAACGGCUCACCAAGUCAACGAUCUGUAGCCGAACUGAGAGGUUGAUCGGCCGCAUUGGGACUGAGACACGGCCCAGACUCCUACGGGAGGCAGCAGUGGGGAAUAUUGCGCAAUGGGGGCAACCCUGACGCAGCAACGCCGCGUGCAGGAAGAAGGUCUUCGGAUUGUAAACUGUUGUCGCAAGGGAAGAAGACAGUGACGGUACCUUGUGAGAAAGUCACGGCUAACUACGUGCCAGCAGCCGCGGUAAUACGUAGGUGACAAGCGUUGUCCGGAUUUACUGGGUGUAAAGGGCGCGUAGGCGGACUGUCAAGUCAGUCGUGAAAUACCGGGGCUUAACCCCGGGGCUGCGAUUGAAACUGACAGCCUUGAGUAUCGGAGAGGAAAGCGGAAUUCCUAGUGUAGCGGUGAAAUGCGUAGAUAUUAGGAGGAACACCAGUGGCGAAGGCGGCUUUCUGGACGACAACUGACGCUGAGGCGCGAAAGUGUGGGGAGCAAACAGGAUUAGAUACCCUGGUAGUCCACACCGUAAACGAUGGAUACUAGGUGUAGGAGGUAUCGACCCCUUCUGUGCCGCAGUUAACACAAUAAGUAUCCCACCUGGGGAGUACGACCGCAAGGUUGAAACUCAAAGGAAUUGACGGGGGCCCGCACAAGCAGUGGAGUAUGUGGUUUA